rnacentral:rRNA from 1 species
UGGNAUUUUAUUUUAUNAGAGGAACNNUGUUUUUUAAUCGACAAUNCACGUUAAUUUUAACUUUAAUUAUAAAUNUAUAUACCGCCAUCUAAAAAAUUAAUUUCAUAAUAAUAUUUAUAAUAAAAAAUAAAAAGUUANNUCAAGGUGUAAUCUAUNUUAAANGUAAAUAAUGGGUUACAUUAAAAAUAAUUUAAGGAUUAUUAUACUAAAAUAUUUUANAAAAAAGGAUUUAAAAGUAAUAAAUAUAAUUUUUUUAGUAUAGUAUAUUCNCCUCCCGCCCUUA